UAGUCCACGCCGUAAACGAUGAUUACUCGCUGUAGGCGAUACACAGUCUGUGGCUAAGCGAAAGUUUUAAGUAAUCCACCUGGGGAGUACGAUCGCAAGAUUGAAACUCAAAGGAAUUGACGGGGGCCCGCACAAGCGGAGGAACAUGUGGUUUAAUUCGAUGAUACGCGAGGAACCUUACCUGGACUUAAAUGUGCGUUGCAUGGAUCAGAGAUGGUCCUUUCUUCGGACUACGUACAAGGUGCUGCAUGGUUGUCGUCAGCUCGUGCCGUGAGGUGUCGGGUUAAGUCCCAUAACGAGCGCAACCCUUAUCCUUAGUUGCCAGCGGGUAGAGCCGGGGACUUUAAUGAAACUGCCCGUGUAAACGGUGAGGAAGGUGGGGACGACGUCAAGUCAUCACGGUCCUUACGUCUAGGGCUACACACGUGCUACAAUGGUAAGUACAGAGCGUUGCUGCUUGGUGACAAGUUUGCUAAUCGCUAAAGCUUAUCUCAGUUCGGAUUGGAGUCUGC
rnacentral:rRNA from 1 species